rnacentral:lncRNA from 1 species
AGCAACAGCAGCGUAGCUGAACAUCUUACGGAUGGCCCAGGGCUCCAAAGGCUCGUUUCCUAAGUGAGAGAGAGCCUGGCUGAAGCUGUAUUACCAUUCAUUCUCCAGCCUCCGAAGUCUCAAAGCAUCACUUCCACCAUACUCUAACUGUCAAGACAAACACAAAGGCCCAGACAUUACAUGUAAAUGGAAUCAUACAAUAUGUGAUCUUUUGUGACUGGCUUCUUUCACUUAGCAUAACGUUUUCAAGGUUUGUUCGUGUUGUAGCAGAAACUGCCAGACUGUCUUCUGAAGUGGCUAUAAUAUUUACACUCCCAUCAGCAGUGUAGAAGGGGUCUCACUAUGUUGUCUGGAGUGCUGUGGUGGAGUGGAGUGGCUAUUCACAGCUGAGUUUGCAGAGUAAACCACUACCCUGAAAUCUGGAAAGGCAGGUGCACCCACAGAUCCUCAGCUGAGAUCCAAUUACCUGAAAUAGAAGCUGCCAUUAGGAACACUUAAAAGAGCCUGUUCUGCUGGGACACAGAAUCACUUGCUCCAUCUCAUACAUUGAUGAUGAUUAAUUUGUAUGUGUACCUUCCAAAAAAGAUGGUUGUGUUUGAAUGGAGGCCUUCUGGACAGGAAAAUAAUCACAUCCUUCCUGAGAUAAUGAGCACACAAUUGCCUGGAUACCUGAAGGAAUGGAGACAGCGGCAGAAAACACUGCAGAGAGGUGGAAACAUCCGUUAAUAUUUUAAAAUCCCAUUACUGCUACCAACAAUAAUAAUGGAUGCAUAGAAAUAGAUCUGGAUUAGCUGAGCUUGAAACAGUCCAUCUCACACACACACAAAAGAAUUUCAGAUACAGUGAACCCACAUGUUGAAGCUUUCUAGUAUAAUAAAAAUUUCAACUGUUCUGUUGAAUCAUCUGCCUGAUUGGAGGCUACAGAAAAGAUGUCAUCUUAGGAGUGCUUGCUCUGAGUGAGGCUCAUCUUCAAAUCUGAAUGACCACAAGGAGAUUUGAUUAUACAUGUGAACACCUCAGAAGGCACAGCCCACCCAGAAGGCAGACAGGUCAGGCUGCUUUUUCUUCAUUGCUUGGAUUCAAUCCUCCGGGCGGCUCAGGCUCAAACAUAACUUAAGCAUGAUUAAACUUUAGAAGAAGCUGCCAGGAAGACUGUGAAAUCUUCAUGCCCAAGGAUCCCUAAAAUUAGGAGCAACAACCACUUGGCUCAGACGGUUUAUGGAGGCAAAGGUUUGGAUGGGAUUAGAGAUUUCUAAAUGUGAGUUCGUGUCCUCUGCCAGACCACCUUACUUCCACCAUUCCUCAGCAAAUCAAGAAAAACAGGAGAAAAGACAUGCCUUUCCAUAAGUUAAAUCUAUUCUGUUUUAAUUCUAUAUUAUAUCUGCUGUACAACUUCUUUUGUUUGUAACACCAUAUUGUUGCUAGUAACUGGAAAUUAAUUUUCACAUGCCUCAGCUUAGAAAAAUAAAAAGCAGCCCUGCAUCAA